AGGUUCAGAAGAUCCUUUGAAGCAUGAAGAUUAAUAGACCUUUUGAAUAUGUUAUUUUGUAAGAAGCAUUAGGUGAAAAUGUAAGCUAUGUUUUCAAUCAAGGAAGAAAAAAACCCACAGUACCAAUUCUGUUUUUACUCAGAAAAGAGGAUAGAAAUGGAUUCAAUUAUCUAGUUUACAAAACUGACUAAAUUGAGGCACAGGCUCUGUUAGACUGACCAUAUCAUCCAGUUCUUGGAAUUCAUCAAGUGUAUUCUUGCAUCUGUCCAAUACAUUUUGACAGAGUACUGGAACAGCUGCCCAGGGGGGUUGUGGAUUCUCCUCUGGAGAUAGUGAAGACCUGCUUGGACACCUACCUGUGCAGCCUGCUGUAGGGGGCUUGCUUUGCAGGGGGGCUGGACUUGAUGAUCUCUGCAGGUCCAUUCCAGCCCCUACAAUUCUGUGAUUUGGUACUAAGAUAACCCCAGUGAACUGCUUACAAAUUAUCAUGUAGAAUACAGCAAUUUUGGCAAAAAAAUGAGAUGAAAUUAACAAAAUCAAAUAUGGCAAUUUUAAGUUGUUCUCUUACCCAGUGCUGGAGAUGUUUUUAUGAGACCAGAUAAUAAUAUUAUUCCACACUAUGAAAUCUAUUUAAAAUUCAUACAGUGGAUAUCUAUGUCUUGUGAUUCUUAUAUGUUUUGAUGAAUUACUGAUUAUUCUUUACAUAUCAUUUAGAGGCUAGUCUGCUCAUUAUUUUAUUUCUUUUUCUGAGCUUGAAAGUGUUACAUUUUAAUAAUAUUUGCAGUGUAAAUGACUACAAUAAGGAGAAAAUGACAAGACUGGAUGAACUUUGUCAUUGGAGUUAGUGGUUUCAGGUCUCAGACCGUUAGAAAUCUGGGAGAAUAAAAAUGGCGCACUUUGAUAUAAUUCAUCCACUUAAAAGUUUAAUGUCAAAAUACAUAUGAAAUAAAUAAAUUUCAGAAAUAAAGGUUUAGUAAAAUAAAA